rnacentral:lncRNA from 1 species
CAGUUUGGUGAUAGAAGCUCGACAGAACCGUACCGACCACUGGCAGUGCUGCAUGGAGCAGCUAACAAAACGCAAUAAUGCAGUGUUAGACCAUCGAUCUCAGUGGUUCAUUACCUCCAAUCUAGCCACCAAUAUCUCUUGUUGAGUUCUUCUCCUGCCCCAGUAUUUUCCUGUUUGCCUAACUCCAGUACAAAGCCUGCUUCUGCAUCUUCAAUUCCUGGCAUAAAGUUCAGCUCCGCCUUUGAACCAAAGCAAAC